rnacentral:rRNA from 1 species
UCCGGGGGCANCCUUAAUACAUUGCAAGUCGAGCGGACAGAAGGGAGCUUGCUCCCGGAUGUUAGCGGCGGACGGGUGAGUAACACGUGGGUAACCUGCCUGUAAGACUGGGAUAACUCCGGGAAACCGGAGCUAAUACCGGAUAGUUCCUUGAACCGCAUGGUUCAAGGAUGAAAGACGGUUUCGGCUGUCACUUACAGAUGGACCCGCGGCGCAUUAGCUAGUUGGUGAGGUAACGGCUCACCAAGGCGACGAUGCGUAGCCGACCUGAGAGGGUGAUCGGCCACACUGGGACUGAGACACGGCCCAGACUCCUACGGGAGGCAGCAGUAGGGAAUCUUCCGCAAUGGACGAAAGUCUGACGGAGCAACGCCGCGUGAGUGAUGAAGGUUUUCGGAUCGUAAAGCUCUGUUGUUAGGGAAGAACAAGUGCAAGAGUAACUGCUUGCACCUUGACGGUACCUAACCAGAGAGCCACGGCUAACUACGUGCCAGCAGCCGCGGUAAUACGUAGGUGGCAAGCGUUGUCCGGAAUUAUUGGGCGUAAGGGGCUCGCAGGCGGUUUCUUANCUCUGAUGUAAAAGCCCCGGGCUCAACCGGGAAGGGUCAUUGAAAANGGGAAAACUGGANUGCAAAGAAGGAGAGUGGAAUUUCCACGUGUAGCGGUGAAAUGCGUAGAGAUGUGGAGGAACACCAGUGGCGAAGGCGACUCUCUGGUCUGUAACUGACGCUGAGGAGCGAAAGCGUGGGGAAGCGAACAGGAUUAGAUACCCUGGUAGUCCACGCCGUAAACGAUGAGUGGCUAAANGGUU